UACGUAGGGGGCAAGCGUUGUCCGGAAUCAUUGGGCGUAAAGCGCGUGUAGGCGGCCUUGUAAGUCCGUUCUGAAAGCCCGGGGCUCAACCCCGGGAGGCGGAUGGAUACUGCAAGGCUCGAGUACGGAAGAGGCGAGUGGAAUUCCCGGUGUAGCGGUGAAAUGCGCAGAUAUCGGGAGGAGCACCAAUGGCGAAGGCAGCUCGCUGGGACGUUACUGACGCUGAGACGCGAAAGCGUGGGGAGCAAACAGG
rnacentral:rRNA from 1 species